rnacentral:tRNA from 1 species
GCCGGGGUGGCGGAACUGGCAGACGCAAGGGACUUAAAAUCCCUCGAUCUACAGAUCGUGUCGGUUCGACUCCGACCCUCGGCACCA